rnacentral:rRNA from 1 species
UACGUAGGGUGCAAGCGUUAAUCGGAAUUACUGGGCGUAAAGGGCGCGUAGGCGGCCUGUUAAGUCGAACGUGAAAUCCCCGGGCUCAACCCGGGAACUGCGUCCGAUACUGGCAGGCUUGAAUCCGGGAGAGGGAUGCGGAAUUCCAGGUGUAGCGGUGAAAUGCGUAGAUAUCUGGAGGAACACCGGUGGCGAAGGCGGCAUCCUGGACCGGUAUUGACGCUGAGGCGCGAAAGCCAGGGGAGCAAACGGG